rnacentral:rRNA from 1 species
UACAGAGGUUGCAAACGUUGUUCGGAAUUACUGGGCAUAAAGCGCACGUAGGUGGUCCGCUAAGUCGAUUGUGAAAUUCCCCGGCUCAACCGGGGAACGGCACUCGAUACUGGCGGGCUUGAGGUCCGGAGGGGUGAGUGGAACUCCUGGUGGAGCGGUGAAAUGCGUAGAUAUCAGGAGGAACACCGGUGGCGAAAGCGGCUCACUGGCCGGAAACUGACACUGAGGUGCGAAAGCUAGGGUAGCAAACGGG